GGGCUUCGGGGCACAGCUGCUAACCGCGGCACCCAGCACCCGAGAGUUGAUAAGCUUCUCUUGUGCAGUCCUCAUCAUCCUGGCCCCAAAUGUCUGCUUCCUCCGGGACGCCUGGAGCUGGGGUCAGGGCUUUGGAGAAGCAACAGCUGGACAUGUUGCCGAUGCAUCUCUCAGAAAUCAACUUGAAGACUGACAGGACUAACUCUACAACUAAAGGGAGAGAAGAAACCACAUUG